UACGUAGGGGGCAAGCGUUAUCCGGAAUUACUGGGUGUAAAGGGAGCGUAGACGGUAAUGUAAGUCUGGAGUGAAAGGCGGGGGCCCAACCCCCGGACUGCUCUGGAAACUAUGUUACUAGAGUGCAGGAGAGGUAAGCGGAAUUCCUAGUGUAGCGAUGAAAUGCGUAGAUAUUAGGAGGAACACCAGUGGCGAAGGCGGCUUACUGGACUGUAACUGACGUUGAGGCUCGAAAGCGUGGGGAGCAAACAGG
rnacentral:rRNA from 1 species